rnacentral:rRNA from 1 species
GACGAACCGUGCGAACGUUAUUCGGAAUCACUGGGCUUAAAGCGCGUGUAGGCGGGCCGCCGCGUCGGUCGCUGAAAGCCCCCGGCUCAACCGGGGAACGGGCACCGAUACGGGCGGCCUGGAGGGGAGUAGGGGGACCUGGAACUUCCGGUGGAGCGGUGAAAUGCGUUGAGAUCGGAAGGAACGCCCGUGGCGAAAGCGAGGUCCUGGGCUCCUGCUGACGCUGAGACGCGAAAGCCAGGGGAGCGAACGGG